UGAACGCUGGCGGCGCACAUAAGACAUGCAAGUCGAACGAAAAUCGUUAAAAACGGAAUUGAAGAUUAUCAGAUUGAAGUUUUACAAUGAUUUAGUGGCGGACUGGUGAGUAAUACGUAAGCAACCUGCCUAGUAGAGGGGAAUAACAGUGAGAAAUCAUUGCUAAUACCGCAUAUGCUCACAGUACCACAUGGUACAGUGAGGAAAGGAGUAAUCCGCUAUUAGAUGGGCUUACGCCUGAUUAGAUAGUUGGUGGGGUAACGGCCUACCAAGUCAACGAUCAGUAGCCGGACUGAGAGGUUGAACGGCCACAUUGGGACUGAGAUACGGCCCAGACUCCUACGGGAGGCAGCAGUCGGGAAUAUUGCGCAAUGGAGGAAACUCUGACGCAGUGACGCCGCGUGCAGGAAGAAGGUUUUCGGAUUGUAAACUGCUUUAGUCAAGGAAGAUACAAGACAGUACUUGAAGAAUAAGCACCGGCUAACUAUGUGCCAGCAGCCGC
rnacentral:rRNA from 1 species